AGUGCUAGCAGCAUUAUUCUGGUGCCGUUGCAGGGGAAGGUCUGUUGUCACAGAAUCAACAUUCGUCUAGCUAUUGCAGAGAGUUCCAAUCAAUGUGUAGGUGUAUUCUUGGUAGAUGUGCAUGUGUAGGUGGAUUUGCAUAUAUGCAUGUGUAGAUUCAUGUGUGUGUGUGCACCUUGUGGGUGUAUGGCACUAAGGUGGUGUAUCCAUGUUGAGCAAGUGAUAUAUGUG
rnacentral:lncRNA from 1 species